CGGACAGCGCCCGGAGCCCGAGCGGGCCGACGCUCCCUGCUGCUGCCAGCGCCGCGGGGGCGGCACCGACGGCUGGGGACAGGCAGGGAUGCUAGGGCGAGAGCCCGCUGUGGCGGUGGUUUAAAGUUACAGACUGCCUCGGGUGACCCUGCCGGCUCGGGAUGCUGCGGUGCGGGAGCCCCGCGCCUCGGGAUGUUGAGUGACAAUCUCAUUGAGAAGUUCACAGCAACAUGGGCCUGGGCUAUGUAAGAAUGUGACACAAUGGAAAAGGAGGCAACUCUAAAUUCCAUCAUCAUUAUUUUACUGUUACAGAGCUACAGAAUCAAUUUGGUUGGAAAAGACUUUAGAUCACUGAGUUGAACCUAUGAAUGAACACGAUGUAAACUUGACCAUGGCUCCAAGUCCUAUGCUUGGCCUUAAAUACGUUCAGGGAUGGUGACUGCACCACCUCCCUAGGCAGCCCAUUCCAAUGUCUAAUCAUCAUUUCUGUGAAACAACAAGAAUGCAGUUUAAGACUUUAGUCCUCUCAUCCUGUCCCUGAUUUUCUGGGAGAAGAGGCCAACCUCCAAUGGGCUACAACCUUCAUUCAUGUAGAAAGUCUUUCAAAGUGUGCAUAAUUAACACUUUUAUUAUAAAUUAUAUGGAAAACAGUGCUAUUGGAAUUGUCUGUUCCUGACCAGGUUUUGCUUUACUGAAGUCUGUGUAAUAUAGCAGCAUACACCUUUGUAGAAUCACAGAACCAUAAAAGAGGACCAGGUGGAAGGGCACUGAAAGAUCAUGUGGUACAACCUUUUGUAGUAAAGGGAACCAUGAUGAGAUAAUCUAACAUCCUGUCCAACACCAUCUUGAAAACCUGCAGUGGAAACUCCCUGAGAGGUUUUUGCAGUGGUUGGUUGUUCUCACUGGGCAGAAGUUCACUAUUUCAAAAUGAAAGCUUUCCUGUUACAGCUUGACACUUACUGCCUUUCAUCUUGUGAAGAGAGAGCCUCCAUCACUGUGGCCACUCUGUUUUACAGUUAAGAAAUCCCCAUGAACACAUGAAACUGUGAGAGAGUCAAACUUACCCUGCAAAACCUCUACAAAGCACAGGUGCUUUUUGGCUCCAGUCUGUGGCAACUGAAUUACUGCAGAAUUACUGAACGGUGCCAAGUACAGAACUUCCAGGUUCCUCGAGGAAAAAGUUACUGCACCAGGAUAACAACAGGGGGUUGUUAUCCUGGACUUCGCAUCAAUGAACAGCAAGCACUCUAUGUACCCGUAUUUGGGUGAUGGUGAAGGGCAGAGUGGUGGCUGAGAUGAUUGCCUGAUGGAAAACUGUACAUCCAUGGCUUCUCAGGUGUUCUUUUGAAUUCACCAAUUCUGUUGUGUUCACAAAUAGGCCCUAAAAAUACCUAUGGCAAAUAUAAGACAAUUUUUUUCUCUGAGAUCAUUUCAGCACCCUGGAUGUGCUCACAAGUGGGGUUCUUUCUUAGUGACAUGAGUGCCAGCUGCUCCAAGAGGGAGAGAAUCCAGGAGCUAGGAGGAAUACUGUGGCAGGGCCUUGCUAGCCAGGGCCUGUCCCACCACCCCCAGCCAGGGAGCAAGGCAGACAGGCAUGGGAGUGGAGCCCAGAGCCCAGGUUAUCAAGCAAAUGUGACAAUGAACAGGUGGAGCAUCAAGCUCAUAAGA